rnacentral:rRNA from 1 species
AGUGAACGCUGGCGGUAGGCCUAACACAUGCCAGUCGAACGGCAGCACAGUAAGAGCUUGCUCUUACGGGUGGCGAGUGGCGGACGGGUGCGGAAUACAUCGGAAUCUACUUUUUCGUGGGGGAUAACGUAGGGAAACUUACGCUAAUACCGCAUACGACCUACGGGUGAAAGCAGGGGAUCUUCGGACCUUGCGCGAUUGAAUGAGCCGAUGUCGGAUUAGCUAGUUGGCGGGGUAAAGGCCCACCAAGGCGACGAUCCGUAGCUGGUCUGAGAGGAUGAUCAGCCACACUGGAAGUGAGACACGGUCCAGACUCCUACGGGAGGAAGCAGUGGGGAAUAUUGGGCGAUGGGCGCAAGCCUGAUACAGCCAUACCGCGUGGGUGAAGAAGGCGUUCGGGUUGUAAAGCCCUUUUGUUGGGAGAGAAAAGAAGCAGGUUAAUCCCCCGCUGUUCUGACGGUACCCAAAGAAUAAGCACCGGCUAACUUCGUG